rnacentral:rRNA from 1 species
UACGUAGGGGGCAAGCGUUGUCCGGAUUUAUUGGGCGUAAAGAGCGUGUAGGCGGUUGGAUAGGUCCGUUGUGAAAACUCGAGGCUCAACCUCGAGACGCCGAUGGAAACCAUCUAACUAGAGUCCGGAAGAGGAGAGUGGAAUUCCUGGUGUAGCGGUGAAAUGCGCAGAUAUCAGGAAGAACACCCGUGGCUAAGGCGGCUCUCUAGUACGGUACUGACGCUGAGACGCGAAAGCGUGGGGAGCGAACAGG